rnacentral:sRNA from 1 species
AGCUGUCACGCCUGCCUAUGCACGCGACAGCUGUUCCCCUCUGGAGGUUUUAACCUUCAAACUCAUUGGCCGCGGAGAAAUCCGGCGGCCAUUUUU